GAUGAACGCUGGCGGCGUGCCUAAUACAUGCAAGUCGAGCGAACGGACGAGAAGCUUGCUUCUCUGAUGUUAGCGGCGGACGGGUGAGUAACACGUGGAUAACCUACCUAUAAGACUGGGAUAACUUCGGGAAACCGGAGCUAAUACCGGAUAAUAUUUUGAACCGCAUGGUUCAAAAGUGAAAGACGGUCUUGCUGUCACUUAUAGAUGGAUCCGCGCUGCAUUAGCUAGUUGGUAAGGUAACGGCUUACCAAGGCAACGAUGCAUAGCCGACCUGAGAGGGUGAUCGGCCACACUGGAACUGAGACACGGUCCAGACUCCUACGGGAGGCAGCAGUAGGGAAUCUUCCGCAAUGGGCGAAAGCCUGACGGAGCAACGCCGCGUGAGUGAUGAAGGUCUUCGGAUCGUAAAACUCUGUUAUUAGGGAAGAACAUAUGUGUAAGUAACUGUGCACAUCUUGACGGUACCUAAUCAGAAAGCCACGGCUAACUACGUGCCAGCAGCCGCGGUAAUACGUAGGUGGCAAGCGUUAUCCGGAAUUAUUGGGCGUAAAGCGCGCGUAGGCGGUUUUUUAAGUCUGAUGUGAAAGCCCACGGCUCAACCGUGGAGGGUCAUUGGAAACUGGAAAACUUGAGUGCAGAAGAGGAAAGUGGAAUUCCAUGUGUAGCGGUGAAAUGCGCAGAGAUAUGGAGGAACACCAGUGGCGAAGGCGACUUUCUGGUCUGUAACUGACGCUGAUGUGCGAAAGCGUGGGGAUCAAACAGGAUUAGAUACCCUGGUAGUCCACGCCGUAAACGAUGAGUGCUAAGUGUUAGGGGGUUUCCGCCCCUUAGUGCUGCAGCUAACGCAUUAAGCACUCCGCCUGGGGAGUACGACCGCAAGGUUGAAACUCAAAGGAAUUGACGGGGACCCGCACAAGCGGUGGAGCAUGUGGUUUAAUUCGAAGCAACGCGAAGAACCUUACCAAAUCUUGACAUCCUUUGACAACUCUAGAGAUAGAGCUUUCCCCUUCGGGGGACAAAGUGACAGGUGGUGCAUGGUUGUCGUCAGCUCGUGUCGUGAGAUGUUGGGUUAAGUCCCGCAACGAGCGCAACCCUUAAGCUUGGUUGCCAUCAUUAAGUUGGGCACUCUAAGUUGACUGCCGGUGACAAACCGGAGGAAGGUGGGGAUGGCGUCAAAUCAUCAUGCCCCUUAUGAUUUGGGCUACACACGUGCUACAAUGGACAAUACAAAGGGCAGCGAAACCGCGAGGUCAAGCAAAUCCCAUAAAGUUGUUCUCAGUUCGGAUUGUAGUCUGCAACUCGACUACAUGAAGCUGGAAUCGCUAGUAAUCGUAGAUCAGCAUGCUACGGUGAAUACGUUCCCGGGUCU
rnacentral:rRNA from 1 species